rnacentral:rRNA from 1 species
UACGGAGGGUGCGAGCGUUGUCCGGAAUCACUGGGCGUAAAGGGCGCGUAGGCGGUGCGCCAAGUCAACGGUGAAAGCUCGGGGCUCAACCCCGAGUCGGCCGUCGAUACUGGCGUACUCGAGCACUGUAGAGGCAGAUGGAAUUCCGGGUGUAGCGGUGGAAUGCGUAGAGAUCCGGAAGAACACCGGUGGCGAAGGCGGUCUGCUGGGCAGUAGCUGACGCUGAGGCGCGACAGCGUGGGGAGCAAAC